rnacentral:lncRNA from 1 species
AUGCCACACACUCUUUUCCCUUGGGAGGCCGUGCUGCCUGCACGUCUCUUCGCACGUCCCUCUGGGAUGCCAUGGGCUGUUCUGGACCAAGUCCUCGGAGAGGACCUUCUCCAUGUCGCCGUACGGCUCUCUGCAGCCGCGACGCCCCCUCCCACGAACCCCUGCUGGCUCUAUGGUGCUAUCCAGCUAGAGUGUGUGUGUGGGGGGGUGUCAGAAGAGCAGAACCCGGGUGCAGCCGCCCUACCCGGCCUCAGCGCUCGAGUCCCGCAGCGCUCGCCCGCUGAAUCCUUCAGGCUGCAGCGCCCCGUCACAAGCCACGCCCUCGAGUGCGCCCAUUGGUCAAGCCCCGUUCCGCCCACGCCCUCGAGCGAUCCCAUUGGCCUGCUCCGACGGUUCAGACAAAGGGAUCGGCGGCGGCUGGCGUUGAUUGGGCAAAGCGCGGGCCACAGCGCGGGAGGGGCGUGGAGGCCACGGCGGGCCGAGGCGCUGUCGUCCGUGGAGGUGGGGCCGUGGGGGCGGGGCGCCCCGGAGGGCGGCGGGGCGCAGGGAGCCCGCUUGCCCCUCCACCCUGCACCCCUCCCGCCCCGGGGCUCCUGCCCGGUCCCCGGCCGCCUCUUCUUCCCCGAGGGCUCCUGUCUCCGCAGCGGGGCCGCCAGCCCGGGAGAGCCGGAGCCUGGACGCAGAAGGCCGAGCCGAACCGGCAGCUGGAUCCGCAGCUCCACACCCCAUGCGCAGCUCCCGGGCCCGGAGUCCACCCCCGCCCCGCGGGGACCCUCUCCGCGGAUCGCGGGCGGGAGGUGCGGCGCCCGCCCAGGCGGGCCGGUCUCCGGCUUCUCGCGCUUCCUGGAGAGUUGGCUCGGCGGGUGCGUCGCCGGGGAGGGAGGGACGGGCCGUGGGGCGACCAGCCGGGUGGGGAGUGGCUUCGAGGGGCCCCUAGCCAGCGGAAGGCCCGCGAGGCCGCCCUCGGAGCACCGCCAGGAAUGAAUAUUUUCUGGAGUCUGGACAGGGAAGAAAGCGACUCCCCCGAUCGCCUCAAACAAUGGUUUCCGGGCUGGAGAGAAAAGAACCUGGGCCCGGGAAGGGACCUCUUUGGGGCAAAGCGCGCAGCCUUGUGACCACCUUCCUUCCGCGGGCCAGAGCCCCGGGCGCGCGUCGUCUCGGCCCCGCGUGGCGCGCGGGGCGCACACCCGUGUCCACCAAAGCCCUGGACCUCAUUUCUCUCAAAAUAAAACUCAACAAGCCAUAAAGGCUCCCGACUCCAGUGGAAAAGGCGCCGCAGAUUUAUAGUCCCUCGAAUUCCCCACACUCUAAUUAUCCUUGCUUUUAGUUGGCUUAGGAGUGGUGACCAAUAAAAUUAUUUUCCAUUUUGGAUUUUUUUCCCCCCAAAGCGAAAGAUCUAAAUUUCGCUCCUCUCUUACUCGCUCGGGGAGAUACUUUUCCGAGCCGGGAGAAAAGAAACUUGCCAAAGGCUGAGCAGCCUAAUCUUCCUCCCCCAAACCUCCCUUAGUUGCAAUUUUGGGGAAAGUUUUUUGUUUGUGCUCCCGACGCUCUUGGGCAUUUCCGGGAUCCCACCUAGGAGCCCUGUGGGGUGCGGCUCCAUCUGCUCCGACUCCGGGCCCCACCCGAGGGUCGAGGCGCUUCUUCGUCGAGGCCCGGCUGCAGAGCGGGGUCCACUGCGGGGCCGACCCCUUUUCCUGCCUCGCCCGCACCGGCCGCGGACCUGGGGCGCUGCGGGGUCCCCCACAGGAGGGGGGGGGUCCCCCAGCCAACCCGCGCAGCUGCCAUGCGGUCCCAUCCCCCUCUCUUUGUUCACUUCUUCGGACACUGAGUCGGAGGUGGCAGGAAAAAAAUAAUUAGAUGGAAAUCAAAGAUUAGACGGGGUGCGCUGGCGGCCUGGGCGAAGCUAGCCCGACACUCCGCCGGCGCCUCAUAAAUCUUUUUCGCAGGCCUGACAAAAGCUGAGUCCUCCAGUUCGCUGGGAAUUUAGAAACUUAUCGAUCUCCUCGCCUACCCCCCAAACACGUCCCCCUCUUCGGCAGCGACCCCGACUUCUGGUCAGCUCUGGAAGGGCAAUAAAUACCCCUGCCCUGUUUGUGAGACCAAAUAAAUACUCGGGGCUGCAUCUCCCCCCUCCAAGCAGCCGGUGGAGAGCGUGGGGGUACUGAGUUCCCAGAAGGGUGAGGGGCGGAUAAACCCCUGGUGGGCGACUCCUUUGUCUGGCUUAGCCGCUGCCCAGGCCAUCCAAGCGUGGGGCCGGAGGUUGGGGCGCAGGUUGGGGCGGGCUGGGCUGGGGGUGGGCGCCCCAUCCUGACCCCGCAGGUGUUCGGCGGGGCGCACGUGCGGCCCACCCGGGACCGCGCCCCAGAAGUUCCCCGCUGCGGAGUGGGAAAAAAGUUGAAGUCUUGGUCCAUUUUUUUUUUUAGUUCAAAUUAAUUGGGAAAAUAGUAAGGGCACUUCCCAACGCGUGGGGGGGGGGUCUUUUAAAAAAUUAUAUCUCCUUGUUGUGGCGGAUUUUCUGAUCUUUCCCUCUAUUAAAAGAAAUGUUGCCACAUUUAAUUUUGUUGCCAUGAGAUAUGGAGAGGGUAGCCCAACAUUUUGAAGUAAUUUGAUAAGCCUUCAAGUAGCAAAUCCGAAAGGGAGGCUGGCGGCCCAGGUAUAGUUUCUUUAUAACCUGAAUUUACAAUGAAAGCAUUCUCCUUUAUGGAUAUAAUAGAUUAGAUUUCACAACUUAAUUCUCCGCAAUGCCUCCGUUUAAGGGAGCUCCGGCUGAUUUUAUUACGCCAAGCCAAAUUGGAUGUUUGUGGUCUUAACGAAAAGCGUUUGUGACAUAAAAUACAUAAUUUUUAAAGUAAAAAAAAAAAAUGGGUCCAACCCCAUCCCCUCCCCCUUCUACCUUUCCUCCUCACCCCCAGCUCAAUUUGGGAUAUACUGAGAAUUAAUGGUGUUUGUUGAUUUCUGCCGGGACACAGCUCGUGCUGGUGGGGACCUGGAGGCCUCGAGGGCCAUGCGCACGCGGUGCGGCUCCCCGCCAAGGCCGGGCCUCGCCUCGGCGUCGUCCCACUCUGGAACUUCCCGGCCGAGCUCCGGGAUCUCUGGGCACCCGAGGGCGGAGCCCCCCGCCUACCCCGGGCUGCACCGCACGCGGCGCACGCGGAGGACUCGCGCUGCCCGGGGUCUCGGGCGCUGCUUGCUGUAAAACAACUGCUCUCCGGGUCAGCGCGACAGGGGCGGCCGAAGCACCCACCCUGCCGCCGUCCCCCACCCCCCGCACCUCAAGUCCUGUCGGCGAGCACCGCCCCUGAAGAGUGGGUGUCCGAGAGAGGGCCUUCCGAGGCCCAGCCACCCCGCUUCUGAGCACCGGGCCUGACAAGGACCAGGGUGUUAGUGGCCCUGCUAUGGGCCGAGGCUCACUGUGCCAUCACUUCUGAUUAAAGCCGGAUUCUGUUCUCCUGGCAGCGCCCCCCAUUGUCGGGGGCUUUGUUAGAGACUGAUUCGGCCCCCCAGGAGCUGGGGACAAUGACAGCCUGCCCGAGGUCACCUCGAUUCGCGCAGACCAAAGACCCCCACCCUUCCCGGGGAGCCACCCAUCGGUCCCCAGCAGCAGGGACAGCCUGGGCGCCCCGCGGCCCACACAGGCCCCGAACCCGCGCGUGGGCAGGACGCGGGCGCGCUGGCUGAUGCUGGGGGCUGCGGGGGCGCGCUUUAAAUUAAAUCUUCGCAGCGCCUGACCUUGUUUUUCCUGGGGCGAUAACGGCAACAGCUGUUUUUUCAGAAUUCCUGCUGCUGGGGGAGGGGCGUUAUUAUUAUUAUUUUUGGUUGUCACAGCCUGCUGGAAACAUUCCCUGGCCUCAGAAAGUGUAACAAUAGCACAGCGGGUUUCUGGAGGAAGCCCCCUCUCCUGCUCUCUCCAGGGACACCUCUGUCCCCUGCUGGGGCCCAGCUCCCCCCUCCUUGGCCUUCAGAACCAGGCCAGGCCUUGGGGUCCUGUGAGCCACUUUUGUCUGCCACCCCCUGACCGCAGUCACUCCCAGGAGAGGUCACAGCUCUCCCAGCGGGGAGAUGGGAGGAGUUAAUAGUGUCCUCCAGCAUCAGCACCUACCCCAAGCCCACGCCAAGUAAUUGCUCACCAGGGCCCUCCUUUAAGACACUUCUUCCCGACUCCAGUCCCAAGGAGCUAGCUGCCUGGUACUAGGAAGGUGCCUCCUCCACAGGAAGCUGCCCCUGUUUGCUUUGGGGGUCAGCGCUGGCCCAGAGCAAGU